UACGUAGGUGGCGAGCGUUGUCCGGAUUUAUUGGGCGUAAAGCGAGCGCAGGUGGUAUAUUAAGUCUGGUGUAAAAGGCAGUGGCUCAACCAUUGUAUGCAUUGGAAACUGGUAGACUUGAGUGCAGGAGAGGAGAGUGGAAUUCCAUGUGUAGCGGUGAAAUGCGUAGAUAUAUGGAGGAACACCGGUGGCGAAAGCGGCUCUCUGGCCUGUAACUGACGCUGAGGCUCGAAAGCGUGGGGAGCAAACAGG
rnacentral:rRNA from 1 species